GAUGAACGCUAGCGGCAGGCCUAAUACAUGCAAGUCGAGGGAGAAUGUUGGAUUCGUCUGACAUGAAACCGGCGCACGGGUGCGUAACACGUAUGCAACCUACCUUUAACUGGGGUAUAGCUCAGAGAAAUCUGAAUUAAUCCCCCAUAAGACUACGACAUGGCAUCAUGAUGUAGUUAAAGCUCCGGCGGUUAAGGAUGGGCAUGCGGUACAUUAGCUAGUUGGUGAGGUAAUGGCUCACCAAGGCUACGAUGUAUAGGGGGUCUGAGAGGAUGAUCCCCCACACUGGUACUGAGACACGGACCAGACUCCUACGGGAGGCAGCAGUAGGGAAUAUUGGUCAAUGGACGCAAGUCUGAACCAGCCAUGCCGCGUGAAGGAUGAAGGCCCUAUGGGUCGUAAACUUCUUUUAUUAGGGAAGAAAAAACGGGAUGCGUCCUGUACCGACGGUACUUAAUGAAUAAGGAUCGGCUAACUUCGUGCCAGCAGCCGCUGUAA
rnacentral:rRNA from 1 species